CUUUUGACUAAAUUAAAAAUUAUUAAAAUCGGUACACCCAGUAAAAAGUUAUUGCGGAUUUUCAGGAAGUUCCCUCGAUUUCUCUGGGAUCCCAUCAUCAGUUCCUGGUUUCCUUAUCAUGGUACUAAACUGGGGAUAUCUUCUUUCUAACAAAAAAAGAAUUAUCAAAAUCGGUACAUCCAGUAGAAAGUUAUGCGGUAUAAUACAACGUAGGUCGACGGAAAAAGCGUCAAGUAAAAACACAUUAUUAGAUAUAACUCGAAAAGUAGUUGUUAGAUCUCAAAUAAAUUUAAAUGGGACCAAUUGGCACACACCACCUUUCGAUUAAAAUAAAAUUUGUCGAAAUCGGUCCACACGAUAAAAAGUUCUGAUGUAACAUACAUAAAA
rnacentral:misc_RNA from 1 species